GUUGGAGACUUGAGAGGAGCUGCCCCUAGUACGAGAGGACCGGGGUGGACGUUCCACUGGUGGACCAGUUGUCGUGCCAACGGCAGUGCUGGGUAGCUAUGAACGGACAGGAUAAACGCUGAAGGCAUCUAAGCGUGAAGCCCCCCUCAAAACAAGGUCUCCCUUGAGAGCCGUGGAAGACCACCACGUCGAUAGGCCGGAGAUGUAAG
rnacentral:rRNA from 1 species